CUGUGACCCCAGGUCAGGCGGGACUACCCGCUGAGUUUAA
rnacentral:rRNA from 7 species